UAUUGCUACUUAUAUGGGAAUUCUUUGGCUGUGCAGGUCGUUGCGAUUCAUCUGACUCUUCAUUCUACCCUGACCUUCUACAGGACUGUUCAUACACUGACUGCCAGAAAUCCCCAGCUCAGAUGCUAGGGCUGCCAGGCUUGAGAGUCAACUACUAGGACUCCGAAGUAGAGGGGAAUUCCCAUUGGGACACACAGCUCGAAGAACAAUCAUUAUUGCACAAGGUGAGUAACUUCUUCAAAUGGUGUCCAUAUGGAUGGCUCCACUGUAGGUGACUCCUGAGCAGUGCCCACCACUGGAGAUUGUGACUUUGGAGUCGAGUCGGAUAUGGACGAUAGUACUAUGGCACCAAAUUUGGAGUCUGAAGCCAAAUCCCCAGGAUGCCAUAGUGUUCUGCAAAGGUAUGUGCAGAUGCCCAGGUAACUGCUCUGCAGAUUUCUGAUAUAGGAAUACCCUGGACAAAGGAUGAGGAGACCAAUCUCGUAGAAUGCGUGCGUAUUGAAGAUAGGGGGGAGGGGCGGGUUACAUUACGCAAUUGGUAACAGAAUUUAAUACAGCCCAAGACCCACUUAGAGAGACAGUGAGAUGAAAUCACUGUGCCUUUUGACCUAUCUGCAAUGGAGAGGAGGAGUUUUGAAGAUUUUCUGAAGGUUCUUCUCACGCCGAGCAAAUAGAGGAUAGCUUCCCUAUUAUCCUUAUGAGGUUUGGGAUAAAAGGCUGGAAACUGAAUAAGCUAAUUUAUGUGAAGGCAGAAGUCAUGUUGGGAAUGAAUUUCAGAUGUUGUCUAAGCGUGACCUUGUCAGGGAAGAACCCAGUGAAAGGGGAAUGUGCCAUUGGAGCUUCUAUUUCCCCAAUCCUUCUUGCAGUGGUGAUGACGAUAAGAAACACCAUCCUCAUGGUAAGGUGAGUUAACGAACAAGUGGCCACGGGUUCAAAUGGUGGCCUAGUCAGACCUUUUAAUAGUAGGUUGCGAUCCUGUUGAAGUCUGGGUUGUGGGAAAAAGUUUGCUAUGCAUUUAAUAAACUUCUUCAUAGUCGGAUGGGAGAAGAUUGAAUAUCCUUGUCUGCUGAGGGAAGGUUGCAAUUGCUGCUAGGUGAAACAAUAGAGAGUCCCGAUUUCUUGAGAGUCAACAGGUAGUCUAUGAUCACUGGUAGGGUGGAUGUAUUAGGGAUGACACGUUUGGGAUGGCACCAGAUCUGGAAUCUCUUUCAUUUUUGUAGAUAGUUAUGGCAAGUAGCUCCUUUCCUACUGAGCAAUAACACAUCCUAUACCACCUCAGAGCAAGAUGUCUCUAUGUGCUGGAACCAUGAAGGAGCCAGACUUCGAGACACAGAAUCCACAGGUUGGGAUGGAGAGUGUCUCUCUCUUUCAGCGACAUAAGAUAAGGAGUGAUUGGAAGAGUCAUCGGUGGCCACAGUGCCAGCUGUGACAGGUAAGGGUACCACGUCUGUCUGGGCCAGGUGGGAGAAAUCAGUAUGUUUGCUCUCUUCACUUUCACCAGGACUUUCAAUAUUAGAGGGAAUGGGGGAAAAGCAUAAAGGAGGCCUUUGUCCCAUGGAAGGAGGAGGGCAUUUCCCAUGGAAUGUCGUCCGAUCCCCACUCUAGAGCAGUACUGUGGACACUGCUUGUUCUGGUAAGUAGUGAAUAGGUCUAUUACCAGUAUCCCCCAUUGUCAGAAUAUGUUGUGGAGUACCACCAAAUCUAUCUCCCAUUCGUGGUCAUGUGGGAAUUUGUGGAUGAGACUGUCUGCCGUCAUGUUGUGUAUUCCUGGUAAGUAGGCAGCUGAUAUUAAGAUACUGUGGGAGAUGCACCAGUUCCACAGUUUUAGUGCUUCUACACACAGGGAAUGAGACCUUUUGCCUACAUGAUGGUUUGUGUAAUACAUGCAGGCCAUAUUAUCUGUCAUGACCCUUUUGUGCAUGUCUUUGAUCAGCAGGAGGAAGCAAGUGCACGUGUUGAUCUCUCGCCUGGAGACCAUUUGUCCUGUAUUGUGCGACCAUUGAGAUCCAUGCGGUUAGGAGUAGAGAUCAGGAAGACUGAACAAACAGGAUUCCUGUACAGACGUUUACCGGGUCCUUCUACCAAUCAGAGGAUCGCUUGACCCUGGCCCAGAUUCUGAAACAGGUCCAGUGUGGUCUGAGUGACUUGCUGGGACACUGCAAAGGACCAUACCCUGAGAAGGCAGUCGUCCAGGUAUAUAGAUCCCAAGGGAUCGAAGAGUGACCCUCAAAUCUUUUAACAGAUGGAGGGAGGCAUCUGUCUUUUCAGCAAAUAAUUUUGUCCCCUAAAAGGGGUAGUUCUCCACCGUCGUUUGGACCUCCUUGAGGAAGUCAGAGAUGAAGCCACGAGGCCUGUCUCAUCACAACGCAGUCAAAAUAGAACGUGCCACCGUCAAAUGCAUACUGGAGCGACUUUUUGCCACCAACUGGCUCUCAUUAACCAAGGCCUUAAAUUGGUCCUUGUGAGGAUGGGGAAGCUGUUCAAUAAAAGAACUAAAUUUCA